rnacentral:rRNA from 1 species
CUUUCGGGAUCUUGAGAGCGGCGUACGGGUGCGGAACACGUGUGCAACCUGCCUUUAUCAGGGGGAUAGCCUUUCGAAAGGAAGAUUAAUACCCCAUAAUAUAUCGAGUGGCAUCACUUGAUAUUGAAAACUCCGGUGGAUAGAGAUGGGCACGCGCAAGAUUAGAUAGUUGGUGAGGUAACGGCUCACCAAGUCUACGAUCUUUAGGGGGCCUGAGAGGGUGAUCCCCCACACUGGUACUGAGACACGGACCAGACUCCUACGGGAGGCAGCAGUGAGGAAUAUUGGACAAUGGGUGAGAGCCUGAUCCAGCCAUCCCGCGUGAAGGACGACGGCCCUAUGGGUUGUAAACUUCUUUUGUAUAGGGAUAAACCUAGAUACGUGUAUCUAGCUGAAGGUACUAUACGAAUAAGCACCGGCUAACUCCGUGCCAGCAGCCGCGGUAAUACGGAGGGUGCAAGCGUUAUCCGGAUUUAUUGGGUUUAAAGGGUCCGUAGGCGGAUUUGUAAGUCAGUGGUGAAAUCUCACAGCUUAACUGUGAAACUGCCAUUGAUACUGCAAGUCUUGAGUGUUGUUGAAGUAGCUGGAAUAAGUAGUGUAGCGGUGAAAUGCAUAGAUAUUACUUAGAACACCAAUUGCGAAGGCAGGUUACUAAGCAACAACUGACGCUGAUGGACGAAAGCGUGGGGAGCGAACAGGAUUAGAUACCCUGGUAGUCCACGCCGUAAACGAUGCUAACUCGUUUUUGGGCUUNNGGGUUCAGAGACUAAGCGAAAGUGAUAAGUUAGCCACCUGGGGAGUACGAACGCAAGUUUGAAACUCAAAGGAAUUGACGGGGGCCCGCACAAGCGGUGGAUUAUGUGGUUUAAUUCGAUGAUACGCGAGGAACCUUACCAAGGCUUAAAUGGGAAAUGACAGGUUUAGAAAUAGACUUUUCUUCGGACAUUUUUCAAGGUGCUGCAUGGUUGUCGUCAGCUCGUGCCGUGAGGUGUUAGGUUAAGUCCUGCAACGAGCGCAACCCCUGUCACUAGUUGCCAUCAUUAAGUUGGGGACUCUAGUGAGACUGCCUACGCAAGUAGAGAGGAAGGUGGGGAUGACGUCAAAUCAUCACGGCCCUUACGCCUUGGGCCACACACGUAAUACAAUGGCCGGUACAGAGGGCAGCUACACAGCGAUGUGAUGCAAAUCUCGAAAGCCGGUCUCAGUUCGGAUUGGAGUCUGCAACUCGACUCUAUGAAGCUGGAAUCGCUAGUAAUCGCGCAUCAGCCAUGGCGCGGUGAAUACGUUCCCGGGCCUUGUACACACCGCCCGUCAAGCCAUGGAAGUCUGGGGUACCUGAAGUCGGUGACCGUAACAGGAGCUGC